AACGAACGCUGGCGGCGCGCCUAAUACAUGCAAGUCGAGCGAGAAGGUGUAGCAAUACACUUGUAAAGCGGCGAACGGGUGAGGAAUGCAUGGGUAACCUACCCUCGAGUGGGGAAUAACUAGCCGAAAGGUUAGCUAAUACCGCAUACGUUUCCGGAACUUCGGUUUCGGAAAGAAAGCAAUACCGUGGGUAUUGCGCUCCUGGAUGGGCUCAUGUCCUAUCAGCUUGUUGGUGAGGUAACGGCUCACCAAGGCUUCGACGGGUAGCUGGUCUGAGAGGACGAUCAGCCACACUGGCACUGCGACACGGGCCAGACUCCUACGGGAGGCAGCAGUAAGGAAUAUUGCGCAAUGGACGAAAGUCUGACGCAGCGACGCCGCGUGGGGGAUGAAGGUCUUCGGAUUGUAAACCCCUUUCGGGAGGGAAGAUGGAGUGGGUAACACCUUGGACGGUACCUCCAGAAGCAGCCACGGCGUAACUUCGUGCCAGCAGCCGCGGUAAU
rnacentral:rRNA from 1 species